ensembl:lincRNA
GAAAUAACUACACGAGAGAUCCCUUAUGUCCUUAUGUUUCGAAUGUAACUCCCCAGGAUCUUCACAAACCACAACACUAUAUAUUAGUGUAAUGGUAGAGUAUUGUGAGUACAGGUACUUCAUUAAUAUAACUUUUUGACCACCUCUGCUGCCGCUUCAGAAUUUUAAAACUUUUGCAAUCCUCUCCCUCAUUACUUUCCUUACUUUACCAUUCACCACAAAAGCGCACAAUUUUUUUAAAAAUAAAAUUCGGGCGAGUAUAGUUUGUUUAUUCAAAUGUGUGAAGCUGAAAGUGAAAAGAACACAAUGUUCAAUGUUUGCGAAAUGUAUUUUGCUCCAAACUCGAAGUAAAUGAUUAAACCUUUCCCGGUUUAUACUCAGCAUUAACAUUAAUUAGGCAGAAGUUCAAAUAAACCGUCUGUGACAGCCUUGCCCGACUGCCAGCCCUCUGCCUAAAAACAUAUUCGGAGUAGAAAACACGCGAACAGCCUUGGAUCAUUCUCGAGUUGCGUUUUUGCUUAAGAAUGCGAAUCACUCAUGAAUGAUGACUGCGCCCCGGCCAAGUAAAUGGCGUUUCACGCUGUGGUGGACAAGUAAACUAUCUCGAACUCCUUGAGUGGACGAAUUAUAUUUUUCCAGGAUCGACAACUCAACUCGUCCUUUUCAAUGGGAUGUGUCUGAUUGGAGGCACGAUUUGAGAUCAUGUUGAGUUACUGCUGUGGUUCAUUGGAAUCUCCCAUGAUGAAACUGAGUAUGUCGGCCGAUGGCUUUCACUUCGCAGGGCUUCAAGGCAGCUGUUCAGCACCAUCUGAGAUCAACCCCUAUCCAAAAAGUGAGUCUGCAGUGGGGAUGGACGCGUCCUGGAGCAAGCAGUCCAUAUUCUUUACCUGCCGAACCAAUCACAAAGACACGAAGCUUUCAUUCAGGCAGACCUUGUCUUCGCAAGGGAAAAUCACCGGCCUGUCCAGGAGUAGUAAGGUAUAAGUUUCCAUGUUUUGUUUUCCUUGCAUUUGUUGUUUGCUGCUCACUUUUAACUUCUUUCAGAUAAUCUUACAACAGAGAAAUUACAGGCUGUUUUUAAGAUUUUAGUGUCCAAUGUGCCUGAUAUGUUGGAGGGUAUUGGUAUGUGCCUUUGAAACCCCACCAUGACUUUAACUAACAUUUCUGUUUGUCAGUUUGUUUAGAGAGAGCGAGAAAAACGACAAAAGUAAUAAUGUACAAGAAGAGUAAAAGCGCCCAGUAAAGGCAACAAGCAUGUGCAGCUGAUUGAUGUGCAAGCAUCAGCGCAGCCAAGCAGCUGACUACCCGUGUGUGGCCUAGCAUGGUGCUUGCAUCGAUGGGGUGGGGUCCGGGCUGUGAAUUGCAAAGGGCGUACGCCAUGGGUCAGCGGCAAGCCUAAUACGAUGGCGGUGAAUUUCUCAUGAUCUGUCCAUAGAUUCCCAAAGGUGGCUCGGCUGCACGGAGCUCGAUCAAGACUGGGAGAAGAACCCUCCACUCGUUUGUUUUCUUUCGACUGAACACAACAUCAUUAGUGGUGGCUUGUUCUUGCUUGGGCUAAUCACUAGCUGUCUGAUAAAAUGUGGGCGGAAUGCAGCUGAUUCUUAAACAUUGAGAGCUCUUUAUCUGAGCAUGAAGGUGAACUUCAUACAAUCCAGGUGUAAUACGUUUUUCAAUAAAAUAUUCUAUCGUUUUUGGGGGUUAUUUUUGCUACAUUUCAUUUG